rnacentral:rRNA from 1 species
ACGCUCGACACCUACGGGGGCAGCAGUAGGGAAUCUUCCACAAUGGGCGCAAGCCUGAUGGAGCAACACCGCGUGAGUGAAGAAGGGUUUCGGCUCGUAAAGCUCUGUUGUUGGAGAAGAACGUGCGUGAGAGUAACUGUUCACGCAGUGACGGUAUCCAACCAGAAAGUCACGGCUAACUACGUGCCNGCGCGCGAUNUGNGNGCGNGNGAGNG